ACUUUAAUAAAUUGUGAGAAGCUGAGAGGAAACUUGCCCACAUCAUCUUCCUUCCUUGAAGGUACUUUGGGUGUCCAACUGUGAGGUUCUACAUGAAAACAGAGCCAGUAAUACCCUGAACACGGAAUCCUUUCGGCCAUCUCUUGAAGAAGUGCAAAUAAGAGGAUGCCCGGGUCUCUCAUUGCUACUAGAGACGACGGAGACGCUGCCGUCGCUUCAGAUGCUCCAUAUUAAUCUUGUUGGGACAGGGACACAGUCGUUGCCGCAAAUGCUGCACAACAGCAAUCGUCUUCAAAGUUUGACUCUAUAUAGCUGCUCCUCACUCUUGUCGUUGCCUUCAAAUGGUCUGCCCACCACCCUGACGUCACUCCGUAUAGAGCAUUGCAAGAAAUUAGAAUUCCUAUCACCUGAGAUGAUGGCCAAAUUGACUUCCCUUCAGUCUCUGGAUCUAUUCAAUAGCUGUGAUUCUCUGAGGUCCUUCCCUUGGGCAUUUUCCCUAAACUUUCAUCUCUUGAUAUCGAUGGUUGUCAGAAUCUGGAAUCCCUUUCUGUUGAAGGAGGAGCAAAUGAAAAUCUCAACCAUCUCAACACCCUGGAUAUCAGUUACUGUCCAAAUUUUGUCUCUUUUCCCUACGGAGGACUGCCCACUCCCAACCUGACUGACUUUAGAGUCGCUGGAUGCGAGAAUUUGAAGUUGUUGCCGGACCGAAUGCACACCCUCACCGCCCUUCAACGUUUUUGGAUACAAAAUCUUCCAAAUGUGGUGUCAUUUGCACAGGGGGGUUUGCCUUCCAACCUACAUUCAUUUUAUUGUAUCGGCAGAAGCCAGGAUGUGCUGGAGACGUUGCUUAAUGAACAGCUGCUCCCCGCCACUCUUCACACUCUCGAUAUCUCUUAUGUAUCGAAUCUGAAGUCUUUGGACGGGAAGGGACUUGAGCACCUCACUUCUCUUCAAGAGCUACGAAUUUCAUGCUGCAAGAGUCUCGAAUUCCUGCCAAAAGAGGGUUUGCCAGCAUCUCUUUCUUAUCUGAUCAUCUGGGAUUGUCCUACACUGAAGAAGGCAAAAUAUUGGAGAAAGAUAUCUCGCAUUCCUUGCAUAAAGAUAAAUGACCAAGUCAUCAUCCAAUGAGCUUUCAUUUCACUCUCUCCAACUCUCAACUCUCAAGAAAAAAGCCAGGAGAAUGCGAGGAGAGUGACUUCUUUCUAGUCUGAUACCGUGAAACUACUUGGGGUGGAUAUAUAUAUAUAUAUAUUCCUGCCUGAGAAGAGGUAGGUUGUGUUUGCUUGAAUGCCAGUACGUACAUUACGAUACUAGAUAAGGAGGGUGGUUGUUGUGCUAUAGAUUUCACCGGUGGAACAUUGCGGAUCAGCUGUAAAUUCAAGCAAAUAGAGUAAACCUGUGAAGACAGGAUCAUCAAAUGUUGCUCUGGGUUUCUAGACUAUCAAGUUUGAAAUCUUUGGACGGAAAUGGACCUUCAACACCACCUGGACUUCAUCGGUCCAGAGAAAAAACUAUUGAACUGUAAGGAUAGGAUUAUCAGAGGGCAAAUGAUGUUAGAUUACAUCAACAACUCAGGUGUAUACACAUGUUUCUUUACAAACACAAUGUUUGAAGAGAGCAUGGCUUAUUAGCACCGCUUGCUAGAAUGCCAGUGUUACUAGACUCGGUGGCUGGCUGCCGUGCCUACAGAUUUCAGUGUAAGCAGUUGAACACUUGAGUGUUACUAGACUCGAUAGCUGGCUGCCGCACCUACAGAUUUCAGUGUAAGCAGUUGAACACUUGAGUAUGGCACCUCUAUAAUUGUUAAGAUAGGAUCAUCUACUGCCAACAAUUUAAACGUGCAUAAAUUAGUUGUCCUUGAAUGGUGCUAGCUCCGGCUGUCUGGCAUGAAUGUAAUUCUCCUUUAGUCAGAGAGUGGGUGCAGAUAUGCUUUUGUACAGGCAAAGUGGUUGAAUAGCUCAGCGUGAUCGUUGUAGCACUAGCCAUCAUGCUUGCGCUUGUUGGAAUUCCAGUAAAUGAUGUUACUAGAAUAGGUGGUUGGCUGGUGUGCUAUGGAUUUCACAGGAGUGAUAUUUCUUACGUUGAGCGCUGCACAUGAGCUGAGUAUCUUGUUGAGCUCGGGAUGAAAGAGGAAAGCAAUUAAGUUGGCAUUCUAUUGAAAUGGAAAUGAGAGAAAACAUGUCUUUCACAGUUCGAUUUAGAUUGUAACAAUGGUACAAAGCAAGUGAAGGUAAAAAGCUCUGCGUUCUUUUCCUACAUUUGCAUCAAAACUCUGCAUCCCCAUCCCUUAAAGGAAAAUAUCACAUGUUUCUAUCUGAACUUGUGCCUAUUGUUGCUGGCCGCCUAUGAACAUCUUAUCUCCUGUUAGCGAACCGAAGGAACUAAGAGAUUAUAGCAUUCUUCUCACCAUUGUGGAUUUCAUGAGCAAUCACGAGAAUAUUCAAAGUUGCAUCUGGACUCGGAGGUUUGUUUUCAAUAUAUUAGCGUGUGUGGUGUCACGUGGCACGCAUGGCAAGUUAACAAAAGAAAAAAAAAAUAUGUUAUUUGAACAUUGCAGAUUUUCUCACUGUGUAGGCGAUAAUCUGAUUCAUUAAUCGCUCCAGAGGAAAAAAGCUGUGGAGAAAUAGAUGAUGGGGAAAGUUGGAGUAGACCCUGAAAAUUUAGAAACUUUUUUGCUUUUCUGAUUGGUACCUGUUCAGCCAAGUGCAUCGGGGUUCAGUCCCCUCUACACAUCGAGGCCAUGGCACUACAUCACGGGAUGCAAAUGGUGGCUACAAAAGGAGCAGGAUUAUUGUGUGUUUGGUCUAAUAGAUUUCAUGAUGGCAAGGCUACGCUCUAAUGCAAUUGUUCAUUGUGCUUGCGAGAGAGAUGGGAGACCAACAAGGUUGUGCAUAGAAACAUUGCAGAGUCACUCGCAGCAUAGGCGAUCAUCUUAUUCAUUAACAGCUCCAGAGGAAGAUGCAGUGGAGAAACAGAUGAUACUUCUUUACCAAAAUUUGAUGGAGAAUGGUUUGGAGCAGGCCGUCAUGUUUAGAAACUUUCUUGGUACGCAACAACUCUGAACCGUUGUAGUGCUUCACGUACGUUGUCGCAGUAAAAUUGCUAAUCAGUUAGGGGUUCAUGUUAGCUGGGAAAAGAGACACUUCAGAUGGGGUUCAUCGUUCCUUUUUCACUCUCAACUCUCAAGACAAAGUCUGGUACAUGUUGCCAGUACAAGGAGGCUGGUUGUUCUGCUACAGAUUUUACCGAAAGAUUACAUCUACGGUUGAACAGUGAUGAUUCGUAAAUUUGGAGAAUUUAAGAUUCGGUUGGAGACAUUGUUCAAACAAAAGCUGCUCUCCACCACUCACCAUCUGGUCUACCAAGUUUGAAAUCUUUGGAUCAAAACACCCGGCACUCUCGAAUCCCUGCCCGGAGAAGGACCUCAACAACUAGGCUCUCUUCAACAGCUAUGCAUCGUCGAUUGUCUUGCGCUCCUGCUAGAAGAGGAUUUGCCGCCUGUGUCUCUCUUUUCUGAGGAUCACCAAAUUGUUUGUGUCAGGAUUUUAGCUCGUCAAAGUUAGUGUUCUUUCUUGUUUAGGAUCGUAUUAGGGAAAUUAGAGGUGCACCGAUUCUUCUCUUAAAAGGACUAGAAAGAAUAAAAGUUUCCUUGUACAAUUAGAUUGGAAAUCCUUAUUGAUCAUUGGAAAAAGGAAAGUAAGUGUACUUUCCUAUUACAUAUAGAAUAGGAAACUUAAUCAGAAAAUAGGCAUAUAAACCACAACCUAUACUUGUAUAUAGGGUGUGGCAAGGCUAGGGAAAGCUUGCUGAAAAGCCAUAAACAGACGCUAGCAAGUGAGAAAAGCCAGAGACAGCCGAGAGGGACAAAGAGAGAUUAGUUCAAGGGUUUUGCAAAAGUAUUUUAACUCUAUUAUUAAUCAAAGAAGCCAUUGUUUCUCUAUCUAGAGAAAUCACAA